AGCGAACGCUGGCGGCAGGCCUAACACAUGCAAGUCGAACGAACCUUUCGGGGUUAGUGGCGGACGGGUGAGUAACACGUGGGAACGUGCCUUUAGGUUCGGAAUAACUCAGGGAAACUUGUGCUAAUACCGAAUGUGCCCUUCGGGGGAAAGAUUAAUCGCCUUUAGAGCGGCCCGCGUCUGAUUAGCUAGUUGGUUGAGGUAAUGGCUCACCAAGGCGACGAUCAGUAGCUGGUCUGAGAGGAUGAUCAGCCACAUUGGGACUGAGACACGGCCCAAACUGGUACGGGAGGGAGCGGUGGGGAAUGUUGCGGAAGGGGCGAAGGGCUGACGCAGCCAUGCCGCGUGAAUGAUGAAGGUCUGAGGAUUGUAAAAUUCUUUCACCGGGGACGAUAAUGACGGUACCCGGAGAAGAAGCCCCGGCUAACUUCGUG
rnacentral:rRNA from 1 species